rnacentral:rRNA from 1 species
GAUGAACGCUGGCGGCGUGCCUAAUACAUGCAAGUCGAGCGAACAGAUGAGGAGCUUGCUCCUCUGACGUUAGCGGCGGACGGGUGAGUAACACGUGGAUAACCUACCUAUAAGACUGGGAUAACUUCGGGAAACCGGAGCUAAUACCGGAUAAUAUAUUGAACCGCAUGGUUCAAUAGUGAAAGACGGUUUUGCUGUCACUUAUAGAUGGAUCCGCGCCGCAUUAGCUAGUUGGUAAGGUAACGGCUUACCAAGGCAACGAUGCGUAGCCGACCUGAGAGGGUGAUCGGCCAAACUGGAACUGAGACCAGGUCCAGACUCCUAAGGGAGGCAGCAGUAGGGAAUCUUCCGCAAUGGGCGAAAGCCUGACGGAGCAACGCCGCGUGAGUGAUGAAGGUCUUCGGAUCGUAAAACUCUGUUAUUAGGGAAGAACAAAUGUGUAAGUAACUAUGCACGUCUUGACGGUACCUAAUCAGAAAGCCACGGCUAACUACGUG